UACCGGCGGCUCGAGUGGUGGCCACUAUUACUGGGCUUAAAGCGUCCGUAGCUUGGUCGUUAAGCCUCUGGGGAAAUCUUCCGGCUCAACCGGAAGGCGUCUCAGGGGAACUGGCGGCCUAGGGAUCGGGAGAGGUGAGAGGUACUCUGGGGGUAGGAGUGAAAUCCUGUAAUCCUCAGGGGACCACCUGUGGCGAAGGCGUCUCACCAGAACGACUCCGACAGUGAGGGACGAAAGCUGGGGGA
rnacentral:rRNA from 1 species